rnacentral:tRNA from 1 species
GCGGGGGUACCCGAGCCCGGUCAAUGCUUGAGAUGGGCUACAAGAGGGGGCAGAACGAUGGCCUACACUCAAGAUCUGUUCGUUAAGGCGUACGUGGGUUCGAAUCCCACCCCCCGCA